GUGUCCCUUGCCAUGUGCUCUUCCCCUUUCUGUCUCAUUCCUGCCUGGAUCCCAUAGGCAACAGUUCUGGGGUGGAACAGCUAUCUGGAAACCACGAGGAUGGCAUGAAGGAUGGCACAAAAGGACCACAGAAGAAGCCUGAUCACUGAUGACACCACAGGGCCUCUGCUCUAGUCCUGGACACCCUAUCUCUGACCUUCUUGUCACCUGAGAAAAAUAACCCCUACUUGGUUAUGCCACAAUUAAGAGUUGUGGAUUCGGCUACUGAAAAAAGGAGUGACAAGAAAAUGAGACUGAAAAGUGGGCAGAAGUCUGGCCGUGAAGCGUCGUGACUAUUAGGAAGACCCGGCAGCUGCUGUGAACACUGCAAAACUAAGACCCCCAUCCCAGUGGAGGGUGGUGACUACAUGCUGGCCAAAAGCACGUAGACUCCAGACACGUUGGAAAUGGAAGGUCGAUGAUUAAAAUUUCCAACCCAUCACUGCGCUGCCUCACCACCAGCCAAUCAGAAGAAAGUCAUGCAGUCUGCAACACCUGGGAGCCAGAGGAUGCUGUGAGCUGAAAGACACAGUACACUCAUGAACACGGAAGGAAAAAACCCAAAGCAACAGCUGAAUAACACCAGGGAUGGAGAACCGUGUCUCUGGGUGGUCCAGGCCUUCCCCUCAAGAUCCCGAUCUGAUUGCAGCAGUUCCAAGCUCACGUCUUCCUGUGCUAGUGUCAAGAGACAGAAGAGACAAGUACAGUCUUGUGUUUUGCUUUGAGAGGGAGGAACAACUUCCUGGGAGUCCAAAAGCCCGAUUUGCCUGUGGGCAGGGCUGUACUUCAAGCUCCUGCUUAAAAAGGCAAACACCGCCCCUCCAGGGAUGGUUCAAACCAACCGGCCUUCAGGACUGGGAGGAGCCCACAAAGUAAACAGGUCUCAGCUCACAGCUCACCUCCUCAGGUCAUCCUGCCCUGCUCCUCCUGUCCCAAGGAGAUCACACCUGUUGUCCUCUGCUGUCUUCACAUCACACUUGAAGAAACUGCUUGAGACACAGAGCUUACACAUUUCUUCGUGUAAUCCAUGCAUGCCUUUAAAUCAUUCAUUCACACAGAGGGGACUCCAGGGAGGCAAGGUGAGUGGGAAAAUGUUCAUGGCUCUGAGCUGACUGAUGGGCCUGA